AUCAGCGCACAGCGAACCAUCCCUGCGGCCAAUCAGAGAUCCGGAAGGAAGAAGCAGAGGAACGUAGAGAUACCUAUCGCUUCACUUCUUCGUGCUGUUCUGCAGCGGGCGCGGUUGUGCUUACUGCUCCAGCCAAUUCUUUGAGACAGUCUUGCGCAGUCUACUAUUUUAUAAUUACUGGAAUCCCUGUGGUCCAGCAAUAAGUUUUACGUUUGCAUAGCAAGAGUGCAUCCGCAAGAUCUCUUAAUUUGUCAAGCAUAAUGAAUCGGGUGUAGUGGAGGGGGAACGCGCAGGAACAGAGCGCCGGUGCUUCUUGGUUUCUUUGGUUGUUGGGGUGGGCAAGGCCACGGGGGCUAUGAUGGAGAGCGCCUGGACCUCUGAAUUUGCAAUUACACCACCGUAAUCGAAUCGAUGUUAAAUUAUCCCUCAGCUUGCUUUGCAGGAACCCUAGCAACUAGCGAAUGUUGGAAGGCCCAUCAGAAACUGGCGGCGAUCCAGACUGCUGCUUAAGGCUGCCAGUGCUCUAAGAUUGGCCUGCGAAUCAGCAUCAAUCUCCAGGGGGAAGCAAACAUUCAACCCCACAAAAGGAAGUGUAUAACAGUAUCUCCUGCAGAAGAGCACAAGGACUCCAAGAGCAGCAACAAAAAAGUACUGUAUAAAAGAAGCUCACAAAACAGAGGAGGUGCACGAGGGAAAGUGCUUCAUUGCUCAUCACAAACAGCCAUAGAUUGUGCUAUCUGGAACAAGUAUUCAGUUUCUCAAGUAUCAAAUGCUGCACUGGGUUAUUCCAAAAACGCAAGGUUCCUGGCAAGACAAGUGCCACCUCAUGGUAAGAUGCAUGGAGUAUCUGGAACCAAUUAAGUAAAGAUGUGCACAAAGCUGGUCAGAGAGAAAGGCCUCAAUGGAGCCACACUGUCUUUUUUUCCUACCCCACACAUCUAAACACAAGUACCUUCCCAACCACAUAUAGGAGACCACCAGACCUGCAUUCAGAUUACACAAACCUGUCUGAUUUUACUAAGAUGAGUGUUUGUGUGGGAAGCAGGGAGGCAAUUUCCCCUUUACUCCUUACUUGCAUCUUAAAAAAAAAAGAGCAGGAAAAAAGUAGAUGUCGGACAACUCCAAGAAUAGGGCUCUUCUCGCAGUUGUUAAUUUAGGAGAAGCCUCCUACUCAAGUCUGGGAGCUAUGGGCACUCCAAUUUUUAGAUCAUCUGAAUAAAAAGCAAUGGAGCAGGAGGAGGACAUGAUCGUCUGCUAAGUAGCAGCUGGGCUGGAGGGCUUUUCAUCCUACCUUGUUAAAGAGCAGCUCAGUCCAGCUGCUGGGCAGGAGGAAGCCCUCACUUCCUCCUCCCUUGUUUUUUUACUCACCGACGACUGAAAAACAGGAGCGCGCCCAGCUCCCAAACUCAGGUGCAAGGCUUCUCCUACCCAAUUAGUGACCGUGAGAAGCAACCUAAUGUGUGGCAUCACUGUGUGAUGGCUACAUCAGGAUGGCUUACUCAGCUGAGGCUACCCCAAGAUCGUAGCAGACCACCAGGACCGCAAUAGGACACCACACAGACAGUUUUGAUGCUGUGUAGGGUAGCAGAGUUUGUAGCUAAAACCAGCUGGCUGCAUGUAAGCCAGGCUCGGAUGACGACAUUCUGAAGGUUCCCCCACAGACAGGCAAAGAAUUCUGAAGGGGGCUGCAGGAUCACAUAGAAGGGGGCAGGAACCUCUGGCUACCUUUUUCCAGACGUUUCUCUCCCCUUAGUAGCUUAUUUUCCUCUGCCCAUCCUCUCCAUAAAGCUAAAGGAGACAUAGAAGCAGAGCAACACAAAGAACAGAGCGGGAGAGCUAGCCAGAGGUUACUGCUUGUGUGCAUACGAUCCCCCUCCAGGCUUCUUGGCCAGUUUUGGAGGGAAUUCUGAGUUCAAAAAGCAGAGCCUGCUUACAUGUGGUUACUUUUGGUGUGGUGAAAGGUGGCCGGCUGCCAGUGUCUGCACUAGUCAGAGUCUUUAAGGCCGUUUCAGUCAGCAGAACAGCAGCCUUGGGGCUAGGAAGUCAAAGAGACCCACACACUGGUAUAGAGGGGGAAUCGGCAGGGCCCACGCUCACCUCCUCUGCCAUCUGUGUCAAGUCACGCUUCAUAGCAUACGCAUCUUCUCCAUCAGCAUAGUAUUUGGGCUCCACUUCACUGAUCCUAGGGGCAGGGUUAGGCAUGCCAACAUCACAUCACUUGAAACCCAUCACAGUCAAGUCCUAGAGGUCUGCCCCAAACUCACUCAGGGCUGGCUUAAUGUAGAAGCUCGCAGGAAUGCUGAGCUGGUAAGUCGCCAGAGCAAACCUCAUUUCAGCCGCAAGCUCCCUAGACUAUUCUCUCUGCCUCAGGACUUCCUUCUGUAAUAUGAGAGAAUACUACUGUCCUACAUUGCAGAGCUGUUGUAAGGUUUACAGUAUUUAAAGCAGGGCUGCUCAACUUUGGCUGUCCUACAGAUGUUGGCCUACAACUCCCAUAAUCCCUGGCUAUUGGCCACUGUCGCUGAGGAUUAUGGGAGUUGUAGCCCAAAAACAGCUGGGGGGCCUAAUUUGAGCAGGCCUGGUUUAAAGAGUGUUCAUUACUCAAAAGGCAAUAUACAAGUUCUAAAUAGCAAUAUUUUGAGGCUUUUGAGAAGGAUGCAGGUGGUUAGAAUUGAAGAAAUCCUUCAAAGAGUCAAACUUUUAAGGAGAGCUCUUAAAACCUAACUGUUUGGCCUGGCCAUCCAGGGUUUUAAAACUGUUUUAGAUGUGAAUGGUUUUAUGCUGUUUUUAAAUUGUUUUGUUUUUAAAAGGAUUGAUUUAUGGGUUUUAUUUUUAUUGUUGUGCACUGCACAAUGGUAUAUAAAUGUAAUAAAUAAAUAAAUAAUAAAUAAACAAAC